GACGAACGCUGGCGGCGUGCUUAACACAUGCAAGUCGAACGGAAAGGCCCUGCUUUUGUGGGGUGCUCGAGUGGCGAACGGGUGAGUAACACGUGAGUAACCUGCCCUUGACUUUGGGAUAACUUCAGGAAACUGGGGCUAAUACCGGAUAGGAGCUCCUGCUGCAUGGUGGGGGUUGGAAAGUUUCGGCGGUUGGGGAUGGACUCGCGGCUUAUCAGCUUGUUGGUGGGGUAGUGGCUUACCCAGGCUUUGACGGGUAGCCGGCCUGAGAGGGUGACCGGCCACAUAGGGACUGAGAGACGGCCGAGACUCCUACGGGAGGCAGCAGUGGGGAAUAUUGCACAAUGGGCGGAAGCCUGAUGCAGCAACGCCGCGUGCGGGAUGACGGCCUUCGGGUUGUAAACCGCUUUCGCCUGUGACGAAGCGUGAGUGACGGUAAUGGGUAAAGAAGCACCGGCUAACUACGUG
rnacentral:rRNA from 1 species